AGACCUCUAGCUCAUGCUGGUAGAGCAGCGCCGUCACAUGGCGAAGGUGCCCGGUUCGAACCCGGGGAGGUCUA
rnacentral:tRNA from 1 species